UGGGGAAUUUUGGACAAUGGGGGAAACCCUGAUCCAGCCAUCCCGCGUGUGCGAUGAAGGCCUUCGGGUUGUAAAGCACUUUUGGCAGGAAAGAAACGUCAUGGGUUAAUACCCCGUGAAACUGACGGUACCUGCAGAAUAAGCACCGGCUAACUACGUGCCAGCAGCCGCGGUAAUACGUAGGGUGCAAGCGUUAAUCGGAAUUACUGGGCGUAAAGCGUGCGCAGGCGGUUCGGAAAGAAAGAUGUGAAAUCCCAGAGCUCAACUUUGGAACUGCAUUUUUAACUACCGGGCUAGAGUGUGUCAGAGGGAGGUGGAAUUCCGCGUGUAGCAGUGAAAUGCGUAGAUAUGCGGAGGAACACCGAUGGCGGAGGCAGCCUCCUGGGAUAACACUGACGCUCAUGCAAGAAAGCGUGGGGAGCAAACAGG
rnacentral:rRNA from 1 species